rnacentral:rRNA from 1 species
UACGGGGGGGGCAAGCGUUUGUUCGGAAUUACUGGGCGUAAAGGGCUCGUAGGCGGCCAACUAAGUCGGAUGUGAAAUCCCCAGGCUCAACCUGGGAACUGCAUCCGAUACUGGAUGGCUUGAAUUCGGGAGAGGGAUGCAGAAUUCCAGGUGUAGCGGUGAAAUGCGUAGAUAUCUGGAGGAAUACCGGUGGCGAAGGCGGCAUCCUGGACCGACAUUUGACGCUGAGGAGCGAAAAGCCAGGGGGAGCAAACGGG